GAUCCUGGCUCAGGACGAACGCUGGCGGCGCGCCUAACACAUGCAAGUCGAACGAGAGAGAAGGAGCUUGCUUCUUCGAUCGAGUGGCGAACGGGUGAGUAACGCGUGAGGAACCUGCCUCAAAGAGGGGGACAACAGUUGGAAACGACUGCUAAUACCGCAUAAGCCCACGGGUCGGCAUCGAUUUGAGGGAAAAGGAGCGAUCCGCUUUGAGAUGGCCUCGCGUCCGAUUAGCUAGUUGG
rnacentral:rRNA from 1 species